rnacentral:rRNA from 1 species
CCUACGGGAGGCAGCAGUAAGGAAUAUUGGUCAAUGGACGCAAGUCUGAACCAGCCAUGCCGCGUGAAGGAUUAAGGCCCUCUGGGUUGUAAACUUCUUUUAUAGGGGACGAAAAAAGGGCAUUCUUGCUCACUUGACGGUACCCUAGGAAUAAGCACCGGCUAACUCCGUGCCAGCAGCCGCGGUAAUACGGAGGGUGCAAGCGUUAUCCGGAUUUACUGGGUUUAAAGGGUGCGUAGGUGGGUUGGUAAGUCAGUGGUGAAAUCUUCGAGCUUAACUCGGAAACUGCCAUUGAUACUAUCAAUCUUGAAUCAUCUAGAGGUAAGCGGAAUAUGUCAUGUAGCGGUGAAAUGCUUAGAUAUGACAUAGAACACCAAUUGCGAAGGCAGCUUACUAUGGAUGUAUUGACACUGAGGCACGAAAGCGUGGGGAUCAAACAGGAUUAGAUACCCUGGUAGUCCACGCCCUAAACCGAUGGAUACUCGACAUUUGUGAUAUACUAUAAGUGUCUGAGCGAAAGCAUUAAGUAUCCCACCUGGGAAGUACGACCGCAAGGUUGAAACUCAAAGGAAUUGACGGNGNGAGAGNGCGAGACGACGACGAGGGAGGAGG